GAUGAACGCUGGCGGCGUGCCUAAUACAUGCAAGUCGAGCGAACUUUUGGGAGCUUGCUCCCAAAAGUUAGCGGCGGAGGGAAGAGUAACGUGAGGGGAACCUACCUGUAAGACUGGGAUAACUUCGCGAAACCGGAGCGAAUACAGUAUAACAUUGAAGACCACAUGGCCUUCAAUUAAAAGGUGGCUUUUAGCUACCACUUACAGAUGGACCCGCGGCGGAUUAGCUAGUUGGCGAGGUAAUGGCUCACCAAGGCGAGGAUGCGUAGCCGGCCUGAGAGGGUGGGCGGCCAGUCUGACACGGAGUGAGAGACGAGCCUCCUACGGGAGGGAGCAGGAGGGGAUCAUUCGCGAAGGACGGGAGUCUGACUGAGGAACGGCGCGUGAGCGAAGAAUGCCUUCGGGUUGGUAGGCUAUGUUGUUAGGGAAGGAAAAGUAUCGGUCGAGUAGGGCGGUGCGUUGACGGUACCUAACUAGAAAGCCACGGCUAACUACGUG
rnacentral:rRNA from 1 species